ACCACUCCUAGCUGGAAACCUUAGCUACAACACUGUGGCACAUAAUGUGAGUUAACACUCACGCUCACUUCUCCAGGGAUCACAGUAUGGAAUCUAUUUAGAGUUUGAGACAGUUUUUAAAAAGGUCAUUAGAUCUUUCUCCUUUAAGGUCAAGAGAGGAAAAACUUUUAUUUUUAAGAUGGCACAGUACAUUGGCAUCGUCCAGAGCUUUCUGAUGAUUCAUGGGUGGAUAGGUUUCCUUACAGACGAGCGCCUUCAGCAGAAGUAGAGAUGACUUCUUAUGUGUUACUGGCUCUCUUGUCCAAACCUGAUGUCUCAGCUGAAGAUCUGACCUUGACCACCCAGAUUGUCUCCUGGAUCAUAAAGCAACAGAAUCAUAGUGGUAGCUUCUCUGCAACUCAGCUCUCCAAAGAUAUUCAGAAGUUUUGGUUCUUGGUGGAGCAAGAAAUUCAGAUCAGCCAGCCACUAUUACCAUCUAUGAUUACUAUGAGACAGAUGAUUUGGCCAUCACCAAAUACAAUGCCCCCUGUAGUAUAAAAGUUCCUUGUCGGCUCCAUAGCAUAAAGUAUGUGGGUGGAGACCGGUGCUGGCGGGGUUUAACCUGUUUCAUGGAGGAUUUAAACCACACUGACUGUCACCCAUGGUUGCCAAUAAAAUGACUUUCACUUAUUCUGAA